UCCCUCCUAGCCCUAACAAACGACAGGGCUAGCGCCGCCACCCCUUCGUUCUCUUCCCCAGGCUGCCUCACCUUCGUUCUCUUCCCCGACGCCUGAAGCCAUGAGCGCCGCCGCGUCAUCAAACCUUCAAAACUGCUCCAUCUUGCGAUGAUCAGGGGCUGUCCACGGAUACCAACUCUGCGGCGAAUUCCUCCUUGAAUUUGUACCAGCUAGGCCCCGACGACUGCGCCCACAGCGUGCCGACACAAAGUUCAAGAUCAAGGAUCAACUGGCCAACAUGUGCGACGGCGGGCAUGCGCUUAUGUGUUCCCGAGGUCAGGAGCCGAGGAGGACAGUGGCUGCACACCUACGGUUCUGGCUGGCAAAGCAUGGCUGCACCGUUAUCGAGCACACAGAUGGGCAUGCGUCCACUGCCGGCGCCAGGCGGUGGCCGACACUAGCUUGGCGUGGCAGUUCAUCUGUUGCCCAUGCGUGUCAGGUUUGUUGCUCGCUCGUAUUAAUUAUUUCAUUCCAUCAUGUAAAUACGGCCAACCUGUAUAAUCAAAAUGCCCGCUUUGCUCAUUACAUAAUUUUUCUUAGGGAAUAACGCACUAAACGAAACAUGCUUUAUGCAAAAAAGAGAGCAAAUGAGGGCCAGAUAGAUAAACCUUUUUUUCAAAAAAAAAAAGAGAGCAAAUGAGGGCCAAAUGGCCAAAUCAGGUGGGACGGGUGUUUGCGUCGAACGUGAGGGUCUGGCCGUUUGCGUGGAACAGGUGAGAGAGGGGGAGUGCAUCCACAAGUGCAGGCUCAACAAGCACCAUGUACCAGCACAACUAUCGUCAUUAUGAGCACCUCAAUGUUAUCAACAUCCAGAGUCCUUCAAACAGGCAUGUGCAUAUUCUUGGAAAUUUGGAGUUGGAGAUGGAGGAAAGGGAAAGAGAAGAGACGAAAGUGGACUUAUUUUAUUGGAUUCACGUCCCUUUGGUUCCUUCUUGCUGCAAGGGUAGAUCUCGGUUGAUUGCCACACCCAGUAGUAGGUCAGAUGCUCAUUUCAAACUCUAUAUGAGUAAUUUGGUUCAUAAUUUGGUUGUGGCACCCACAUGAAACUUGUAGAUAAUCUCCUGCUGAUAUUCAUAUUAUUCUCAGUUGCUUGAUUUGGUGAAGUACAUUAAGAUUUACAGUAUCUUGGUGAGGGCCAGCUGGAACAUGCUGGCGAAUAACGCAUUUUAGGGUCCUGGAGGAGCGACACUGCCUAGGCGCGGUGGACGAUUCCCUGUGACGGGAUUAUGGUUUUUUUGCUUGCCUGUUCCCAAAGAGAUGAUUUUUCUUCGUUUUUGGUUUUGGAUACUGAAUUUAGGAUAGCAGGAACAAUGUUACUGCCAGACCGGUAGGAGUUGGACAUACUUGAUGAAGCUUUUUGCUGAUUGCAAAUUAGGUAUUUGCAAAUCAGUAGUGAACACUCUGUGUUGUUGUUCCAGAAAAGUAAGUAUCAGCAGUUUAUGUGACAUUUCAUGUCCGCUCCAUGAAGCAUUGUAUGCACACAGUAUAUUGAUGAUUUUAUUUUACCUUCAUAUCUGCUUAAUUUUC